AAAUGACCUAUUCCGCCAACACUUAGCAAAAAUUAUUCACUUAAGCCGCCAGUGAGCUCAAAUCGAUUAAUCCUUUAUUCACUCUCACAUAUGGAUUCUCCUCAUCGUCUUCUCCGUCGUGCAUCUCUCCUCCUUCGUUGACACUUGCAACUCCAGCUCUUCAUUUCACCUUCACAUCUUCUUCUUCUUUAGAUCUCUCAUCUCACUUUCCUUCCUCUCAUUCUUCUACUUCUUCGUCUUUUCCUUUUCUCGCUUCCUUUGUUUCUUUCUAUCUCUCUCUCUCUCUCUCUAACUUCUUCUGUCACUUUUACUUAUCAUUACCCUAAUUUUGCAAGGCGUAUCAAUUGAAAUUGAAAAGUUUUGGAAUUGGUUGGAAACGCAGCGAGGGAUAACAAGAAGACUAGGUUGGUGCCACGUCACAUUAAUCUUGCGGUGUGGAACGAUGAUGAGCCGAGCAAGUUGCAAAGGUUUGAUUUUAGCCUAAUUUUGUUAAGAGGAAAUUCAAACCUUUUUGGAGAUUUGUGUUCUACCUCAUGGAGAAGGUAUUGUAAUAAAUCUUAGGGGUUCUGUUUUAGAGUUCUUUGUGCACACAAGGUGUUCGACGAUUUGACUGUGAGAUGGAAACCAAGAAUAUUAAAGUAACUAACUUGGAUUUGGUUCAAUUUUCGCUAAGGAAGAAUGUUGGUGGCUGAGAGAUGGAGAUUCAAUAGAGGAAAAGCCAGGCUAUUCAUGGUAAAAAAAACUUCUACAAGAUGGAACUUGGAGUAAAGUGUUCAAUGUGAUAUUUUGCAAAGGAUCAAAAGGUGACCAGAGACCAGUAAAUUAGAUGACCUUGACCUAACACGAGACGAGCUACAAAAGAAAGAGAUUCUCAAGAAACUCAUGUCUGAGUUGGAGACCUUAAUCAUCUCAUUUCUGCAACUCUGAUAGAUGCAGUUCUUGGAGACCUUAAUCAACUUGAGCAUGGGGAGAGGAACAGGAGAAAGCUAGUUAGGCUUCAAGAAGUUCGUCUCUUUCCUUCACCUCUAAAAGUUGCUUGCUUUUACUAUUUUAAGCUAGUUGGCAUCAGGAAGUUUAUCUCUAUCUUUGUUAGUUUUAUUUUGUUUUAAUACUUGGCAGCACUUACGAUAUUAGUAUAGGAUUUGUAUUAAUCUAUUAAUCUUUGUACUUUUACUUUUAAAAUUUUGUAUUUAUACUUUGUAAUAUACUAUUUGUAUUAUGAUUUCAUAUAAUAUAAUAAAAUAUUGAAAUUUUAA